ACGGGGGAUGUGGUCUAAUGAACAGUAGAAUGUUACGGGGGAUGUUGUCUUAUGAACAGUAGAAUGGUACGGGGGAUGUGGUCUUAUGAACAGUAGGAUUGGACAGGGGUUAUUGUUUUAUGAACAGUAGGAUGGUAUGGGGGUUGUUGUCUUAUGAACAGUAGGAUGGUACAGGGGUUGUUGUCUUAUGAACCGUAGGAUGGUACAGGGGUUGUUGUUUUACGAACAGUAGGAUGGAACGGGGGAUGUGGUCUUAUGAACAGUAGGAUGGUAUGGGUAUGUUGUUUUAUGAACAGUAGGAUGGUACGGGGGUUUGGUCUUAUGAACAGUAGGAUGUUACGGGGAUUGUUGUCUUAUGAACAGUAGGAUGGUACAGGUGUUGUUGACCUAUGAACAGUAGGAUGGUACGGGGAUGUUGUCUUAUGAACAUUAGGAUGGUACGGGGGAUGUUGUCUUAUGAACAGUAGGAUGGUACGGGGGAUGUGGUCUUAUGAACAGUAGGAUGGUACGGGGGAUGUUGUUUUAUGAACAGUAGGAUGGUACGGAGGAUGUUGUCUUAUGAACAGUAGGAUGGUACUGGGGAUGUUGUCUUAUGAACAGUAGGAUUGUACAGGGGUUGUUGUCUUAUGAACAGUAGGAUGGUAUGGGGGUUGUUGUCUUAUGAACAGUAGGAUGGUACGGGGAUUGUUGUUUUAUGAACAGUAGGAUGGUACGGGGAUUGUUGUUUUAUGAACAGUAGGAUUGUACGGGGGUUGUUGUGAACAGUAGGAUGGUACGGGGGUUGUUGUCUUAUGACCAGUAGGAUUGUACGGGGGUUGUUGUGAACAGUAGGAUGGUACGGGGGAUGUGGUCUUAUGAACAGUAGGAUUGUACAGGGGUUGUUGUCGUAUGAACAGUAGGAUGGUAUGGGGGUUGUUGUCUUAUGAACAGUAGGAUGGUACAGGGGUUGUUGUCUUAUGAACCGUAGGAUGGUACAGGGGUUGUUGUCUUAUGAACAGUAGGAUGGAAUGGGGGAUGUGGUCUUAUGAACAGUAGGAUGGUAUGGGUAUGUUGUUUUAUGAACAGUAGGAUGGUACGGGGG
ensembl:lncRNA